rnacentral:rRNA from 1 species
UGAGGAAUAUUGGUCAAUGGCCGGAAGGCUGAACCAGCCAAGUCGCGUGAGGGAAUAAGGCCCUACGGGUCGUAAACCUCUUUUGUCAGGGAGCAAGGCCGUCCACGUGUGGGCGGAAGGAGAGUACCUGAAGAAAAAGCAUCGGCUAACUCCGUGCCAGCAGCCGCGGUAAUACGGAGGAUGCGAGCGUUAUCCGGAUUUAUUGGGUUUAAAGGGUGCGUAGGCGGCCUGCCAAGUCAGCGGUAAAAUUGCGGGGCUCAACCCCGUAGAGCCGUUGAAACUGACGGGCUCGAGUGGGCGAGA